CAUCUCCAACCCCAUGAAGGUGGAGGCCAUCUCCAACCCCAUGAAGGUGGAGGCCAUCUCCAACCCCAUGAAGGUGGAGGCUAGCGCCGCCGACUUCUGCACAGUUGUUCAAGAGCUCACCGGCCGGGACUCAGACAUCACCUACAUGUUCGAUUGCCCCUCCACCACUGGGGAUGCCAAAUCCUCUUGUACCCAUGCUGCAGACAAUGAGAGUACUGUUGACCUCCCGGUUGAUAUGUUCGAUGAUGCCUUCACUUCACAGAUACUAGAGGACUUCCGGAGGAUCCAGUCGUAGAACAAUG
rnacentral:misc_RNA from 1 species